GGUAAUGAGGCUCAGUGGUAGAGUGCUUGCCUCAUAUGCAUGAAGCCAUGGGUUCAAUUCCUCAGUACCA
rnacentral:tRNA from 1 species